AUGAUAAAAUGAUAUAAAUUGUUUUUUUUUUUUUUUUUUUUCAAAUAAAUUUUAAAUUCCUCCUUUUAAAAUAUAAAUUCAAAUGAAAAUCGUAGGAUGUAUAAAUGAGGCCUUGCUAAUAGCUUUGACUUUUAGAAUCGCAAUGAUUUACGAUUAGAGGAUUUAAUCAAAUUGGCUUCUAAGCUCGCCUGCCUGCCUCGCUGUCGUGUUUCCUCAUAAGCUGACCGGCCAGUCCUUUGACACCAUGCAGAAUUCCCUCCUUAAUUGAUUCCUCAGCACCGUCGGUCCAUUCUCUAGAGAACUUGUCUCCAAAAUUGAAAUUUUACAAACGUACGCGAAGGAAGGAAGGAAGGGAUUUAUUAAUUAGGAGUAUUUUCUGCCAGAUGAAUCCUGACGUUAGUUCGCUCGAUGUGAACGAAGAGAACGGUUGGAAAACAAACAUCGUUAUCUCGAAAAUCUGUCGGCUCGCUCGUUCAAGACAUCUGUCCCAUGGGAUCUGGCUCGUUAAGGAGAGACCACGAGACGUUUCAAAGACGUCGAGGAUUUAACAGAGAACUUGGAAGGAGAAAUGGACGACAAUACCUCUUGGUUGUAAUCCUGGAGGAAACGCGACGAACUUCUCGACAUUACCACCAACACCGUCACCAUCAAUAUAUAUACGUACAUACCAUUACCAAUGCAAUCACCAUAGUACUAGCAUCGCUAUCGUUCUCGGUGUUGCUUGUGCUAUCCAUGCGUAGAACGAAGAACGAACGAGAAAGGGGACGGCGGAUUGUUGCAAGUUAACAAGCUUAACCCCCUUAAUCCCGUUGUAAGCUUGCAAAGUCUACAAGGGGUCAGCCGUUCGCACGAAAUGCAUCCGUUUAGAGAACAAGCUUUGUCUUCGGCCAGGGUUAAGGUUUACGCGCUUAGAGAGGGAGGUCGAGACUGUAGCACUCUACCCUCUUUUUAUCUUUAACCUCUAACUCUUCAUUUCUCUCACGAUUCUCUCCUUGAACGAUUAUCGUUGGGAAUAUAUCUAUCCAUAAUUAUAAAAGUGAUCUAUGUCAUAUAUAUUUCUUUUUUUGAGAUAUUUAAAGGAUUACAUUUGAAUAAGUUAAAAAAUAUUUUAUAUAUUAUGUAAUAUUUUAAUUUAAAAUUUUAUUAAUCUUACUUGAUUAAUGAAAAUAUAUAUAUUAAAAUACGUCUUUCAUCGAACUUUUAAUGGAUAUUUUACUUUUUAUAGG